UACGGAGGGGGCUAGCGUUGUUCGGAAUUACUGGGCGUAAAGGGCGCGUAGGCGGCGCGAUAAGUUGGGCGUGAAAGGCCCGGGCUCAACCCGGGGACUGCGCUUGAUACUGUCGCGCUGUGAGUCCGGGAGAGGAUGGCGGAAUUCCCAGUGUAGAGGUGAAAUUCGUAGAUAUUGGGAAGAACACCGGUGGCGAAGGCGGCCAUCUGGACCGGCACUGACGCUGAGGCGCGAAAGCGU
rnacentral:rRNA from 1 species